GAUGAACGCUGGCGGCGUGCCUAAUACAUGCAAGUCGAGCGAACAGACGAGGAGCUUGCUUCUCUGAUGUUAGCGGCGGACGGGUGAGUAACACGUGUAUAACCUACCUAUAAGACUGGUAUAACUUCGGAAAACCGGAGCUAAUACCGGAUAAUAUUUUGAACCGCAUGGUUCAAAAGUGAGAGACGGUCUUGCUGUCACUUCUAGCUGGAUCCGCGCUGCAUUAGCUAGUUGGUAAGGUAACGGCUUACCAAGGCAACGAUGCAUAACCGACGUGAGAGGGUGAUCGGCCACAUUGGAACGGAGACACGGUCAAGACUACUACGGGAGGCAGCAGUAGCGAAUCUUCCGCAAUGGGCGAAAGCAUUACGGAGCAACGCCGCGUGAGUGAUGAAGGUCUUCGGAUCGUAAAACUCUGUUAUUAGGGAAGAACAUAUGUGUAAGUAACUGUGCACAUCUUGACGGUACUUAAUCAGAAAGCAACGGCUAACUACGUG
rnacentral:rRNA from 1 species